rnacentral:rRNA from 1 species
CAUGGCCUACGGGAGGCAGCAGUGAGGAAUAUUGGUCAACGGGCGCGAGCCUGAACCAGCCAAGCCGCGUGAGGGAUGAAGGUACAGAGUAUCGUAAACCUCUUUUGUCAGGGAACAAAGGCGGGGACGUGUCCCCGGAUGAGUGUACCUGAAGAAAAAGCAUCGGCUAACUCCGUGCCAGCAGCCGCGGUAAUACGGAGGAUGCGAGCGUUAUCCGGAUUUAUUGGGUUUAAAGGGUGCGCAGGCGGUCUGUUAAGUCAGCGGUCAAAGCCCGGGGCUCAACCCCGGCCCGCCGUUGAAACUGG